GAUACAGCAGUAUGCACAAGCUGAAACCUGUUCUUUAAUCAAAUUACACCCACACAUAAGCUUAUUUGUAUUUAUGUUAGUUUGGACUCUCUCCUCUUUCUCCUGUCUUCUAUUUCUCAAAAUAUGAGGAUGCUUACCCAAACUAUAGGGGAAAGCUAAUAAAUAUUGUGUAAAGGGGCUGUUACCUGGAAACAAAGAAAUCUGUGAUGUGCUGCUGAGAAACCUGGUAGCAAUUGACCUAAAGAGUGAAAAAAUAAUGGUGUGACUCAGCUAUGGAGGAGAUGCUCAGAAGCUCAGAUGAAGCAGUAGCAUCUUGCCUGGCAAUGGGAGCCUUUCCACCACACUGAUGAUGGAUCAUCAGAUUCAGUUUAUUAGAAAUCUUGCUUUUGAAUAACUGAAGCUCAGGUAUUGUGGAAGA
rnacentral:lncRNA from 1 species